GGGAACUUUGGACCAAACUGAAAUGCCAAUUUGUGUCAUUGUAAGGAUAUGACUGGUAUUUUUCAUGCUUUCGGACGUCGUUUAAAUAUUCUGGGUGGUCAGCUCGUGAUAUGUUUCCAGUCACAUGUAAGGUGAAUCUUCCAGCUUCAAUUAACCCAACUUGGAAACUCCCUCAUAUGUAUACUCAGCACUCCAAAACUGCAAGAACCAUUUGUUAGUGGUUGGAUAAACCAUUGUGCCACCAGCCUGCCAGCUGAGACAAGAAUUUGCAACCAGUGCUACAAGUCCACUUUCAAGAGCCUAAAAACACAUGACAGGGGAAGCUGCUGGGCAUCAUUAACGAUGAAACAUUCCUGUGGUUCAUUUGAAGGCAAAUCUGUAGUAGUCAGCAGAGGAUCUACGUGACCACAUCUGAGGCUUGGAAUUUUUAAGUUCCUGCAUGCAGUGAGACACUGGGAGCCAUGGCAAUGCAGAUGCGUGGAAGAUGGUGGCAGCUUCCUUUCCAUAUGGGGUUUUACAGCAUCUCAGCUCACAGUUGCAUUUUAAAGAAAAUAGAAAUAAUAAUUUAAAAAAAAUUAGUCCACAGUCUUGUGAGGUUUAGGCUAAGCCAUGGAAGCCAAAGUAUUGCUUAGAAAUAAAUUAAAUACAGAAGAAAACAGAAUCCAAACCUCAACUAGAUAGACCCAAGGGAAGCCUCUCUUUUUAAUGAAUUCUGGGCUAAAUGUGACUUGCCCAAGAGCAACUAGGUAAUGAUACCAGGCUCUAGUACAAGCACCACUGUAUAUCCUUUGGAUUUCCUUGACCAUGCUAAAUUCAACUGCAACUCUCCUACAGUUUAAUAAUUUAUUUACCUCCAUUAUUUUAACUACAGACUAUUUACACUCAUACAUUUUCUAUAUUUAUUUUUGUUAAAAACUGAGCUAUAAAUAUCUCUGGCUAAAAUGUUCAAUUCCCAUUCAAAAAGGCAAAAAGGAUGGUCAUCAGAAAAAAGAGAAAACAGGGAAUAAGACAGGAGCCUACCAUAGUGGGCCUCUGAAAGGCUCUGCCCUGCAGACUAUCAAUGCAGAUGCUGAUACUUAUGGCCAACCUUUGGGCAGAGUUCAGGGAACUUUAUGAAAGAAAUGAGAAAUAGUAAGACCUGGAGAGUACAGGAGAGCUCUCCACAAGGAGAGCAACAGAACCAAAAUAUCUGGGCACAGGGGUCUUUUCUGAGACUGAUACUCCAACCAAGGACCAUUCAUGGAGAUAACCUAGAAACCCUGCACAGAUGUAGCCCAUGGCAGUUCAGUGUCCAAGUGGGUUCCAUAGUCAUAGAAACAGGGACUGCCUCUGACAUGAACUGAUUGGCCUGUUCUUUGAUCACCAGCUCCUGAGGGGUGAGCAGCCUUAUCAGUCCACAGAGAAAGAAAAUGUAGCCACUCCUGAUGAGACCUGAU